GCUGAUUACAUGAAGAACUGUGCAAAACAGCUUUCAGCAAGAAUGGAGACCAGUGGGUGUUCAACAAAUGUGAUCAACAGUGACCAAGCACAAUGUUCUGAGAGAGAAGUCAUACAAGAAUCUUCAGAUGAUGACAGAGAUACUGUGAUUUUAGACUGAGAUUCACCAGCCAAUGAA